AGGCGACGGGGGGCGCCGGGGCCACCGCCGAUGGCAGCUUCGCGGCUGGACUUGCCUGAAAACCAAAAGAGAAAACAGAAAACCGAGAGAGAGAGAGAGAGAGAGAGAGAGAGAGAGAGAGAGAGAGAGAGAGAAGAGAAAGAGGAGAGAGAGAGAGAGAGAGAAUCACCCACCACCCCCCAAAACACACAAAAAAGAAAAUCUAUCUAUAUACAGAUAUCAUAUAUCAUAUAUAUAUAUAUAUAUAUACAGAUAUAUAUAUAUGAAGCGUUCAAGAAUCUAGGGUAGUGCUUUUCUCAGAUUCUUCUCCUCAUGCUCUCUCCCUCCAAGGGGACCUCGCCCCACCCCCACUGCGCGCCCUCUUCCCCCCACCCCGACAAUGGCUUUCGGGGCUCGGUUUGGGGUUUUUGUGGGACACAAGGAUUCUGAGCUCCCCGGGGCCGCCGGCUCGGGGUCUGGGGUCCCAUCCGAGGCUCGUCAGGGGCCCUGGGCCCCAGCAGGGGUGAGUGGGGCCUCGGGGGGCCGGGGACGGGAUGGGCUUUUCCUUUCCUUUCCUCGCUGGUUUUCAGAGUCUUUAGACAAGACCUUAAAUGAUUCUGUCGUGUGAGCGGACGUUAAAAUGGCCCCAUCCUCCCACCCCCACCCUCCUUCUCAGGGCACUCCUAAGGGGGUUCCCCUCCAUCUCCCCGCCUCCCAUUCCUUCCUGCCUGUGGUCCCCCGUAUCUCCUGGCCACUGGGACACAAAUCUAUUAUUUCCAGGUGUGGAGAAAGGGGAGAAGACGAGGUGGGGGGGACACCAGGGAGGCUCCCCGGGGUCCCCACUGCCUUCCUUCAUGGCACUUACGACCCAGCGUGACCCUCGGGCCACCGCUCAGGGCUCCCUGCCACCCCUGUCUUCAUCCCCUGACCCCAGCCCCCCAGACCACAUGAGAUGUUUGGAGAUUCGAAACUUUUUGUUUCACCCUCUUUCCUCCCCAGCCCUCUCCCAAUUUUUUAAAGCACUUUUAAGGUUUUUUUUCUCUUCCUCCUCUUAAAAACAAAAUUAUAUAUAGAUAUAUAUAUAUAUAUAUGAAAUAUACUUUUCCUCAGAGGAGCAGGCAACAGUGUGGGGUGAGAGCCAAGAGGAGAGGGAACCCAGGGUCUCACGUGGCAGGGAUGAGGGGAGAGAAGUCCAGAAGUGCCAAUGUCACAAAACAAUAAAAACAAGAUUUUACAAAAUGAAAGGAAAAAAAGAAAAAAAAAAACACAAGACAACCAACCACAAAUAGAAGUCUUGGCACUUUGUAACAGAACGGGUACUACUCUUUAUCUUAAUUCUUAAUUUAAAAAACAUGUUUACAAGUUGCAACCAACUUCUAUGAAAAGUCAAAAAGACAAAAAAAAAAAAAGAGAGAAGGAGAGAGCGAGAGAGGGCAAAAAAAGAGAGAGAGAGAGAGAGCGAGAGAGAGCAAACAAAUUCCUAAAAGUCGAUUUAUUUUUGUACAAAAUAAUAAAAAAAGAAACCCACUGCAGACGUAGAAUCCACUUCUGUUCCCCGAGGUGAGAAGGGUCAGGAAGGCACGGGUGAGGGUGAGGCCUUCUGAGGCGUUUGUGCUUUACCACGGGGGCCUGCCUUGCAGGCAGGACUGUGGGGUUUUUGUGUUUCUGCCGUGUCCCCACCAACCCCUCCACCCCCACCCUGUCCUGUCCUUUUUUUGGGUUCUGAUUUGGAGAUGUCUCAUUACUUGCUAGCCAUUCAGUGGCCACCCACGUCCACGGGGACCCUCCUU
rnacentral:lncRNA from 1 species